UAAUGAUUAUAUAACAGAAAAUGUUUUAAAAGUUAUAUUAAAUAUAAAAGAGGAAAAAAUAAGUUUAGAGCAUUUUAAAAAUUAUUUUACUAACUUAAAUUACGAUGUUCAGAUUGAAAAUAUACAAUUCUUAUAUGAUUGUAUUUAUAAAUAUCGUUUGAAUCAGGCUGAUAAAAAUAGUGACAAGUAUGCAGAUGUGUCAGAUGUAAAUGUGAAUGUAAAAGAAACAGGUGGAGACGAAGUAUACAUAACUGUUAACGACAUCCAGAAUUAUAUAAUCAGUAGGAAUGCUAAAAAUAGUAAUUAUUUUAAUAAAGUUAUUAAAAUGAUUAUACACUUUAAUAAUAUUAUUAUAAUUAUGUUAAAUAGUAAUAAAACUGAAACAAUAGAUAAAAUCUUAUUUGAAUUACUAUCAAUAAAAUUUGCAUCUGUAUUUAAUGACAUAUUAAAAUUACCUAAUGAUAUAGAUAAUUUAAUAAAGCACUUAAACGAAAUUAUACAGUUAAUUUUAUCUGAUGAAUCGAAAGACCAUAAUUUAAAAAAAAUAAUAUGUAAAUACUUGAACAGUCAGGGUAUAUUAAUCAAAAAACAUGACAUUUUAGCACAGUUAAAUGGAGUAAAACCUACGAAGUGGGAAGGUCUAAAAAUGGAUUGUGUCGAAGAACAAAAUAGUCAGUCUAGUGAUAAAACGAAACAGAAUAGUAGUUUUUCUGUAGGUGAUGUUGCAACCUCUCAAACGGACUAUAGUGCAAACCAAUCAAAAAAACAGAUAACUUCAAAAAAUGUUAUUACUCGUAAUAAUAAAGUAAUUGAAAAUAGUAGUGGAAUCUGUAGCAGUGGUACAAGUAGCUAUAGCAAUGGUACUAUUAAAACAGGUAAUAUUAAAAAGACAAAAAAGAAAUCAACGAGUAGUGCUAACAAGGACUCUGAGAACAACACACGCCUUUUAACGAACAACAUGAUAGGAGUACUAAAUGAUAAAAAAGAAAACGCUGUAAAUGAAAAUACAAAAAAAAGUUUAACAGGUACUAAAAAAAAAAAAAAAAAUAUAAUAGUAAAUAAUAAUCAAACACUAAACGAUUUUGUUAUUUCAAGAGGCGUGGAUAAUCAAAACCAAGCUGCUAACAACAGUAGUACUGCUAGUGUCAAAGGUAGCAGUAACAAAAGUGUUCAGAGUAGUAGUAACGAUAGCAUAGGUAGUGGUAUAAGUAGUGGCAUAGGCAGUGGUAUAAGUAGUGGUAUAGGCAUUGGUAUAAGUAGUGGUAUAGGUAGUGGUGUAAAAGGUAACAUACGAAACGGAUGCAAUAAAGGGAGUGUUAAAACUAGUAGUAACGAAAGCAUAAAAAGUAGUAUCAAAUCGAGAAACAAAUACAGUGUCAGUGGCAGUCUGAAGGAUAGCGUGAGAAGCGACACCAGUAACCGCACCAUAAAGGAGAAAAUGAAGGAAAAUGAAAACAAGACUAACAACCAAAAUUUAAAAAGUCAGAAUAACAUGAUAAGUAGCAACAAAAAAAGUGAUAAACAAGAGAAUGAAAAAAAUGUUAAAAACACUAUUACUAAUUUAAACAAAAAUGUUGAAAAAGUGAAAGAAGACUCAAAAAAGAAAAAUGUAUUAAAAGAAGAAUCAAAUGCAACUGCAACUGCAGAAACAGAAACUGAUAAAGUAAAAAAAACAAAAAAAAAUGCACAAGUAGCAACUAAUGGUGAUAAAAAAUUGGACAAACAUUUUACAUGUGAAGGUAAUGUGGAAAUGUUAAAAAGUACUAAAAAUAAAAUUAAUAAAGUUGAAAAUGGAGUUAAUCAAGUUGAAAAGGAAGUUGCGGAAGUACACACAAAUGUGGGGAUGAGUGUAAAUUUAAAUCAUAAAAACAAUGUAAAUAGUGUACAAAAUAAUUAUAAUUACAUAAAAAGUAAUAGUAAUUACCCCAAUAUGCGAAUGUACAGUUUGGUAAACAACACCGAUGCAAUGACUGUAGCAGCAGGAGGUGUCCUUAAUAGUACCAGCAGCGUAUUUACAAGCGAGCCAUAUAGACACUCUUUCAGUACAAAUCACAAAAAUAUUCUCACGACACAACAUACUAAGCUUUACCCACCGAACCCUAUGGUAUACAAAAAAGGGUUUCCUAUUGUGUUAUCUAAUACUAGCAAUUUAAAAAAAAAUAGUUUAAGCAGUACGGGUAAAUAUGGUAAUAAGACUCAACAAAAAGUCUUUGGUGGAAAUUUAUCUACUCACAGUGAUACUCAUAGGGAUACGCAUAACUAUACAUACCAUCACCAUAAUAGUAAUAAUGUUUGUAGCAAUAUGCACAGUAAUGAUAAAUAUGCCGUUAACAACGUAAGUAAGUCUAAUGAUGCAAAAUCAAAAAUAAAGCAUAACAAUAGUAAUAAUAUAAAUAACAUAGUAGAACAUAGUUAUUUAUGGAAUGGUUCAAAUAAUGUAAAUAUAAAUAAGCAACAUACUGACAUAUUGGAUUAUAAUUAUGUUAUUAAUAACAAUACAAGAAAUAUACAUGACAACUCAAAUAGUGAAAACCGAAGUGGUAGUAAUAGUAAAAAUAAUAAUGUGAGUCCGCAAAUCAUACAAAAUUAUACGAACCAAAUAGAAAGUACAAAAGACACAAGUUCAUUAUCUAAUCAACAUAAAAUGCUAAACAUAAAUUCGAACAAAUCGAAUAUAACAGGAAAUACAAGAGCAGUGAUAUCUGAAAAUACUAAUGAUCAUAAACAUAUAUUUACGAAGAAUGUACCAAUGUAUAAUAAUACCCAGAAAGGGGUCACAAAACAGAAUAUUCAAAUGGGUGACGUUAGUAGUAAUACUAAUAUGAUUAACAAAAUUGACUCGAACACGAACAUGCGUACAAACACGAACACAAGUAAGAGCACAGAACAUUACACAUUAAAAAGUAAUGAUAUGAUGAAUAAUCUAUAUAAAAUGAAAAAUAUACCGUUACCUUAUUUGAAUCAUGAUAAAAAUGUAAUUAUGUUUGAAAAUGGAAUGUAUAAACAUGGUUACAACAAAAUGAUAAGUAGUAGUGGUGCGACAAAUGUGGCAGUCAACAAUGAUACAACAAAUGUUGUAAACAACAACAAUAUGUUUUUCAGUUUCAAACGCAAAAUUAAUAAUGCAAACGAUAAAACUAAUACACCGAUGCAAAAAGCAAAGGAACCACGUGCACAUACAAGUACAAGUAAGAAUCUAUUUGUAAGUCCUACUAACGAUUUAACUAAUAAAAAUAUAAAUAAGAAAGGAGAAGUUAAUUAUAACGAUAGUGUAAAAAUUGCACUAGCUAAUUUCGAAAGCAAUUUAACGAAACCAACCAACCUAAAAACAGUUAUAAGUAGUAAGAGAACAGGUUAUGAUGACAACAACCACAACAAGGCAGAUACAGCCAAUAACGUAUUAAACGUAGAAGUACAAAAUGAAAAAAAAAAAAAUGCUUACAGUCGCUUUACCGAAAUGAUUACAAAUAAAAUAAAAAACUUUACUUUACGAACUAAUAAAUUAGAAGUGCAUAGUGAACCUAAAAAAAAUAGUCUAUUGUCUAACAGUAAUAAUCAUAACGAAACAAAUGAUCAUAACAGAAAUAUUAGAAGUGGCAAUAGUUCCGAAAUAUGUAAGGACAAUGGGGGUAAUAAUAAUAAUAAUAAUAAUAAUAAUAAUAAUAAUAAUAAUAGUAGUAGUAAUGAUAAUAAGAGUAACAGUGGUCCGAUCCAAGCAAGCAUUAACAAAAGUAUAAACACAAACAUAAACACAAACGUAAACACAAACGUAAACACAAACGUAAACAAAAACGUAAACAAAAACGUAAGUAACAGUAACCGUGCUAGCUACAGUUUUGGUAGUUGUAACAAUAAAGAUAAAACUGCUACUUCCUUUAUGAAUCCAGUAAAUGUAAUACAAAAUAAUCGUACCCUAGUAACAGGUGGUACAAUUGCAAGUGCAAAUAGAGUGGUAAACAAUGCGUUGAAAGAAAAGAAGGGACAAGUACAACCACAAGUGCAAAUCCAAAUUAAGAACAAUACAGAACCAAAUGCUACGAUAAUAACAAAUAAAAGUAACACGAACAAUAAUAAAGAAACGAAUACAAAAUCAAUAGCCGAAAAUAAUUUAAAAAAUACAGCGAACCAUUUAUACACCGUAAAAAACAAGACAGUAGGAGUUGAUGACAUGAACAAAUCGAGCAAUAUAUAUAAUAAUAAUAAUAAUAAUAAUACCUUGCGAACAUAUAAUAACGCUUACAAUGAUAAACAAAACAUAAGGAAUGAUAGAAAAGAUAGCUAUCCAAUAGUAAAUACAGUUGGUUGUGCACAACAAAAUAUAAUAAAAAACAUGAACAACAAAAAUACACAACAUGUGGCUUGUAAAAAAAUGAAUGUACCUUACUAUCCCCACUUUCAAAAACGUAAUAGUAAUUAUUUACAUGAAUCCAAUUCAUAUACAAAACGUAAUGAUAAAAAGAAUGCACAAUUAAAAAUCAACGAACAAAAUAAUGAAACAAAUAUGAACAUUUUAAAAACUAAUAAAAUGUAUUUUCCGAAUGACUCGAUGAUGAUCAAUCAACAGCCUGUCUUUAUGGGUAAUCAAAAUAAAAAUUUUGUUGAAAAUUCUGUUAAUACUAAAAUGGGCAUAAAUAAUUAUAUUAGUAGUAAUCUUGUCGGUACGAGUCAUGUUGGUGCUUAUGCUGUCCCUGCAAAUGUGGCUAGAGCAAAUGUGGCUAAAGCAAAUGUGGCUAACGUAAAUGUGGCUAACACAAAUGUGGCUAACACAAAUGUGGCUAACACAANNNNNNNNNNGUGGCUAACACAAAUGUGGCUAACACAAAUGUGGCUAACACAAAUGUAGAUAAUACUAAUUCUCCAAAAUCCACUUCCUUACAUAAAUUAAAACAAGUAUCAAACAGUUUCAAUACAUAUACUGGGAAAACAAAUAUAGACAAUAAUAAAAACAUCUUAAAUACAACA
rnacentral:lncRNA from 1 species